CGGGGUGAGUAAUGCUUGGGAAUCUAGCUUAUGGAGGGGGAUAACUACGGGAAACUGUAGCUAAUACCGCGUAGAAUCGGGAGAUGAAAGUGUGGGACCUUCGGGCCACACGCCAUAGGAUGAGCCCAAGUGGGACUAGGUAGUUGGUGAGGUAAAGGCUCACCAAGCCGACGAUCUCUAGCUGGUCUGAGAGGAUGACCAGCCACACUGGGACUGAGACACGGCCCAG
rnacentral:rRNA from 1 species